GAUGAACGUUGGCGGCGUGCCUAAUACAUGCAAGUCGAACGAAGACUGUAGUAAUACUGUCUUAGUGGCGAACGGGUGAGUAACGCGUGGGUGACCUGCCCCGAAGUGUGGGAUAACAGCUCGAAAGAACUGCUAAUACCGCAUAAUAUCCAAGAGAUUAGACGCUUUUGGAUUAAAGGAGUAAUUCGCUUCGGGAGGGGCCCGCGUCCCAUCAGCUAGUUGGUAAGGUAAUGGCUUACCAAGGCGAUGACGGGUAGGGGACCUGAGAGGGUGGCCCCCCAAAUGGAACUGAACACGGUCCAUACACCUACGGGUGGCAGCAGUAGGGAAUAUUGCACAAUGGGCGAAAGCCUGAUGCAGCAACGCCGCGUGAGCGAUGAAGGCCUUCGGGUCGUAAAGCUCUGUCCUCAAGGAAGAUAAUGACGGUACUUGAGGAGGAAGCCCCGGGCUAACUACGUAGCCAGCAGCCGCGGUAAAAUCACGU
rnacentral:rRNA from 1 species